rnacentral:snoRNA from 1 species
UGGUCAUAUACCAAGGCUUUCAGGAUCCGGUGUUCCUGUCUUGCUGUGGACUUGACCAGAAAUCAAAAACCAUCCCAGUGAGCAUCUGCAGCAGCAUUUUGCAGAAAACUCGCUGGGGACAUGA